rnacentral:tRNA from 1 species
UCGAUAGCUUAGUUGGUAAAGCUCUCGUCUAGCAUACAAGAGUCCUGGGUUCGAAUCCCAGCCGA